rnacentral:siRNA from 1 species
UAACGACAUGACCAAAAUGGCCU